rnacentral:rRNA from 1 species
UACGUAGGUGACAAGCGUUGUCCGGAUUUACUGGGCGUAAAGAGCGCGCAGGCGGUCGUUCAAGUCGAGUGUGAAAGCCCCCCGGCUCAACUGGGGAGGGUCACUCGAUACUGAUCGACUCGAAGGCAGGAGAGGGAAGUGGAAUUCCCGGUGUAGUGGUGAAAUGCGUAGAUAUCGGGAGGAACACCAGUGGCGAAGGCGACUUCCUGGCCUGUUCUUGACGCUGAGGCGCGAAAGCUAGGGGAGCAACGG